UAAAUAACAGUAGUAAAAAAAAUUACAUUCAAACACAUCAUAUACUUGAAACAACAAGAAACCAGAUCAUGUUGCUGUCUAUACUUUCUCCAACUUCGCCGGAAACAUUCUCUUAGAGAGGUUCAAUGGAGUUCCAUCCGAGGAAAGAUUGCAUUGGAGAACUUUCUUGGUUAAACUGGGAGCUGAUAAUCUCAAGGGUGCAAGAAAUGAAGAGCUCUUUGUUGCUUCCCAAAAGACAGUUUACAUUGUUUACACAGUGCUGGCA